CACUGGUCGGAGGGCAUGUGACCUCUGCACCGUUUCUCCCCAGUUUCUAAACCUCCGAGAGCCCCGCGGGGGUCCGCGCCCCGAGGGCGUUUACAAACGGACCGCUGGCGAAGCGCCGCUAGGACAGCACGACGGCUCAGCGUGAGAUCCUUCGGGCCCCGCGGAACCGCCGCCAGCGGAACACAGUGCCCGGGCCCGUGGCCCCUCUGCGGCCUCUCACAGGACGCGCUCGCCGGGUGGCCCGGCGUUCGUCCGGGUGUGGACGGUGACGUAGCUCCCUAUUUUCUGUGGGACGUGGCGGAAAACACCAAGAAUUUGAGAGACGGCGAAUGACGUUACAUCAGCACUCAUCAGGGAAAUGCAAAUUAGGCCCACACUGAGGCCCCUCUUGCCAUGGCCCUCCACGUACUUUCUCUGGUGAGCAGCACUAUUCACAAGGCCAAAAGGUGGAAGAACCCAAAGGUCCACUAACAGAUGAACGGGUAGUCAGAGCAUGGCCUGCCCAUACAGUGGAGCAGUACUCAGCCAGACAACGGGACGGAAUUCUGACGUACGGCGCACUGCAGAAACAGCCAAAACCAUGCUAAGUAAGAGAAGCCAGACACAAGGCCCACACACCGCAUGAUUCUGCCUUGUGUCUGAAACAGACAAAACAGAGGAGCAGCUGCUAAUACCGCACAGGGGUCAUGCCUGAUUACUCUGGAGAAGGUCAGUGGUCCCCGGGAAGCCCCCGCCAUGCAAGUCUGAUGCUGUGCCUGGGCCGGAAGCAAGGAGCACCCCCCACCCCACCCCUGGGGACUGGCCGGGAGGCAGGAGCCCCAACGGCUCAGCAGGCGCCUGAGGAGCACAUGGAAAACUCUCCACAAGCCCAGUGCCCGUCAGGGGCCCUGGGCUGCCAGGCCCGGUGCGUCCUCUGGCUGGGAGAGUGCGGCCACCGCGCUCCAGUGUCGUCGCUGGCUUGGGGUCACCUGAGCAGUUUCCUACUCGUUGGUACUGUCCUCCUGUUUUAAGAUGUUGUUUCCACCAACUUCUUCCAGAAAGACAACUUUCCUCCAACAAAUAAAUCACUUGCUUUCAA